rnacentral:rRNA from 1 species
UACGUAGGUGGCAAGCGUUGUCCGGAUUUACUGGGUGUAAAGGGCGUGCAGCCGGGAAGACAAGUCAGAUGUGAAAUCUGGAGGCUCAACCUCCAAACUGCAUUUGAAACUGUUUUUCUUGAGUAUCGGAGAGGUAAUCGGAAUUCCUUGUGUAGCGGUGAAAUGCGUAGAUAUAAGGAAGAACACCAGUGGCGAAGGCGGCUUCCUGGCACAAUACUGACGCUCAUGUGCGAAAGCUAGGGCAGCGAACGGGAUUAGAUA